CUCGCUGCAGGGCUAAGUCCCUAACUCUCCCCGCCUCAGCGACACUCGUGCGGAGGACAGCCGCCGAAGCCUCGGCAUCUUCCUUAUCCUUCUUCAAGGCCUCCGACCCAGCCUUUAAAUCAUCCCUCUCCUUCCUCAGGGACUCAAUUUCCUGUCGGGCAGAGGAAAGCUCCUUAACAUCCUCCGACAGGCGAGCCUUCUCGGCCUCUAAAUUUUCGUUUUCCUCCUUAAGAGCACCAAUAGCCUCGUCCCGGCAAAUAAUCUCCCGGGAGCAUCGCUCCUCCAAGGCCGCAGCCAUGUGGUGACUCUGCAAAACGCAAACAAUCAAACCUUCGAACAAAAAACGCGAAGGAAAAACACACAAUUGGAAAACUUACAAGGCUAUGGUGCUCAAAUUGCACGCGAAGGAAGGCGUCAAAGUCCAUAUGACGAAGCUUCUGGCGGAGACGAUCUAGAUAGCAAAAGAGGUAAGGAAAAACAUAAGUAAAUUAAAGAAAAAUCAUCAACAGCGGAGGCCAGAAACGAACCUCCGACCAAAGAAUGAACCUCGCGCAGUGCAUCGGUCCAACCUGUGAUCGAAGGAUCAGAAGCACC
rnacentral:lncRNA from 1 species